CUCAGAAAUAAUAGAAAUCAUAAGCGGUUUAAAACUCAUACAUUUUUGUCAUACUUAAAGAAUACACUAGGCUCAGUUUAAGUGGUAUACAUUUUUGGUAUAAUAAACUAAACUAAGCUGGACUUCCACAAAACUAUUUUUAUCAGUGUAUUUUAGCGACCGCAGAUGUUCACAAAAACAAAAAUGUCGGUGAAGACGGCUUGACUCGCGAAAUUCGUUUCAUUAAUUUGUCUACUAUUCGAUUAACUAUCAUUAGAAAAUUCUCAAAAGUGGACUGCUUUUCAUUAGAAAUUGCGAAUCAAUCGAAUGGCGAAUGGCUAGGAACUGUUUGGCAGAAAAGCUCGAAAACACCGAGUGUCUGCACCUGCAAAACGGAAACAGCGUCAUGGAGUACUACUUCAAUGCAGAAAACACGGUCCAGAAAGCAGAAACAUGAGAAGAAUCCAUCAUUUCGGAUCUGGAUGCUAUUGAAUAUUU